CCUUGGCUCAGCACCAGUGUGUGAGAGCCAGAGCCUGCUCAUCUUUUCUCCCGACUUCCCUCCUUCUAUUAAUGGUGUCAUCCCUCCUUCUGGAAACCAGGCACAAAUUCCCAGUCAUCUUUGACAUCCUGUCUCCUUUUACUCCCACAUCUCCUUGGUUGUGAAAUCCCACCAAGUCCUUCCCUCAGCACCCCCACUUCCCUUCUUAGCCACGCUGGCCUCUCCCCUCUCAUACUGACCUCUGCAGAUAUCUCUCCAUAAUCUCUGCCCCCUGUCUGCACUCCGCCACCUCAUAUCCCCACCAUACAGGCUAAUAUUGGAGUACAAUACAGGAGUAAUAUUGCUAAGGAAUAAUCUCCAUCUUACUGCCUCACUUAAAAACCUUCCAUUAUAUUCAACAGUUAUUGAGUGUCUAUUGCAUGUGUAUUAUUUAUGAUUCUUUGCAUGCAACCUACUGAAACCAACUUGUGCCAGUUUAAACUGAAAAGGGGUGUAGAUUACACAGAUUCAGGGAGAAUGCAGCCAAGCCUCAGAACUGGAAAACUCUCAGGACUCCAUGGCGUGCUCUCUCUCCAUCCCCUCUCUGCUUUUCUUGGCAUCUACUGCCUCCUCCCUGGCUGCAGAGCCCAGCUUUCUCUGAUACCCCGUCUCUUGCAGGAGAUCCCUGUCUCAAAUGAGCCAAGGUUUAUUUUCAUCCCUGCCACUCAAAAGACCACUCCCAAUAGGAAUGGAGUCUUUCAGUCCCCGUUUUAAAUUUGCAGGUGUGCUGCUCCAGAAUCUUCUGCUUGCAAAUGAUGAAAACCCAACAUAACUAUCUUGGACAAAACUAUAAUUUAUACACUCUUAUAAACAAGAGCAGGGCUGGGACUAGGCCUCCUUGACAGAGAGUGACAGGGACUGGAUAUCAUGCAUCUCCCCAUUUCUCUUUUCUUUUCUGUUUUUUUUGAGAGAAGGAAAUAAAAAAGAGUGAAGGAGAGGAAGAAAGAAGAAGAAAAAGAAGGAGAGAGAAUGAAAAUGUUGCUUUAUUCUAAAAAAUGGGUAUUAAUAAUGGCCAAUCAAUAUUUCAUUUAAACCUAUGAGUAGGUGUGAUGUGGUAUUGACAAGAAUGUAUAUUUUGUGUAUUUAAAGUGGGGAGCUCUAUAAAUAUUUAUUAAGUUUACUUGUUCCAGAUCUGAGUUCGAGUCCUGGAUAUCCUUAUUAAUUUUGUGUCUCAUGGAGUCUACGUCUCUAUGUAUCUGGGUGUUAGGAUCGUUAGCUCUUAUUGUUGCAUUGAUCCUUUUACCACUAUAUCUUUGUUGCUUUAAAAUCUAUUUUAUCAGAUGCAAGAAUUGCAACUCCUGCUUUUUAUUUAUUUAUUUAUUUUUGCUCUCCAUUUGGUUGGUAAAUCUUUCUCCAUCCCUUUGUUUUGAGUCUUUGUGUAUCCUUACAUGUGAAAUGGGUCUGGAUGUAAGCAUACAGUUGAGUUUUGGCUGUAUCUUUUGAUUGGGGGAUUUAGUCGCUUUAAAUUUAGGAUUACUGCCAUUUGAUGUUAACUGGCUGUUGUAUCCAUUCAUUGAUGUAAAUUCUUCUUUAUGUUGAUGCUCUUUACUUUUUGGUAUAUUUUUAGAAAGGCUAAUACUGGUUGUUUCUUUCUAUGUGUAAUGCUUCUUUCAGAAGCUCUUGUAAAGCAGGCCUGGUGGUAAUAAAAUCUCUGAAUACUUGCUUGUUCAUAAAAGAUUUUAUUUUUCCUUCAGUUGUGAAGGUUAGUUUGGCUAGAUAUGAAAUUCUGGGCUGAAAGUUCUGUUCUUUAAGGAUGUUGAAUAUUGGCCCCCACUCUCUUCUGGCUUGUAGAGUUUCUGCUGAGAGAUCUGCUGUAAGUCUGAUAGGCUUCCCUUUGUGGGUAACCUGACCUUUCUCUCUGGCUGCCCUUAGUAUUUUCUCCUUCGUUUCAACCCUGGUGAAUCUAACGAUUAUGUGCCUUGGGGUUGCUCUUCUUGAGGAAUAUCUUUGUGGUGUUCUCUGUAUUACCUGGGGUUGAAUAUUGUCCUGCUUUGCUAGGUUAGGAAAAUUUUCCUGAAUAAUAUCCUGUAGAAUAUUUUUCAGCUUGGAUUCAUUCUCUCCGUCACAUUCAGGUACACCUAUGAAACGUAAAUUUGGUCUUUUCACAUAGUCCCAUAUUUCUUGGAGACUUUGCUCAUUCCUUUUUAUCCUUUUUUCUCUAAUCUUGUCUUCCUGUUUUAUUUCAUUAAGUUGGUCUUUGACCGCUGAUAUCCUUUCUUCUGCUUGAUCAAUUCGAGUGUUUAAACCUGUGCAUACUUCUCAGAAUUCCCCUAUUGUAUUCUUCAGUUCCAUUAAUUCACUUAUAUUCCUCUCUAAAUUGUCUAUUCUCAUUAGGAUUUCGUCAAACCUUUUUUCAAAGUUCUUAGUUUCUUUACAUUGGGCUACAACAUGUUCUUUUAACUCACAGAAGUUUCUUAUUAUCCAUCUUUGGAAGCCUAAUUCUGUUAAUGGGAUGCGCUCAUUCUCCAUCAAGCCUUGUUCCCUUGUUGAUGAGGAACUGUGAUCCUCUUUAGAGGGAGAGGCAUUCUGAUUUUGAGUAUUCUCAGCCUUUUUACGCUGGUUUCUUCCCAUCAUUGUAAAUUUAUCCACCUGUCAUCUUUAUAAUUACUUUCAAAUUAGGUCUCUGAGUGGAAGUCCAAGUUGUUAAUUCCCAGGGCCGAAAUAUGAGCAACCCACUGCGCCGGCCAAAACAGUGGUGUUAAGACUGAUGGUGCUUUUCUGCCCAGGAAUCUCCAGUCUGGUUUCCUUCUUGAGUCCGUAAUAGGCAACUCUGCCUUCUCAGAGCUCCAAACGUCGGUCAGAAGGGGAACCAGUCCCGUUUACUCUGCACCAAGAGCUGCCACGCCGAGGUGCCGGCAAAACUGCUGCGCCAGCCACAAGAGUCGCGCUGACGACCCGUGGGACUCCUCCACUGGGAAUCUUCUGCCCCGUGAGUGACAAAAAUUUGUCUGAAAGUGUGGCGUCCUCUCAUUCUCUGCGCUUUCACUGGGAGCUGCAAUCCCGAGAUGUUAGCGAUCAGCCAUCUUGGAUCAUUCUUCCAUUUCUCUUUUCUGACUGUGAGCAUCCCUUCUUUGAUACAGACCUGCCCUUUACACAUGUUGAAGGCCAGGGUCAUGACCCCUUGAUGACAACUGAUAAAUCUUACCACCUAAGGAGCUUGACUCUUCUUUCCCAAAUUCCAAUUUUUAAAAAUGACCCUUAGAACUCUACUUGAUCCUGCUUAGGACAUGUUCCUACCCCUCAUAGACUCUGAAGUCAGACUGCCUGGGUUUAAAUCCUGGUUCUGUUACUGAUUAGCUCUGUGACUCUUGGCACUUAAACCUCUCUAUAUCUCAGUGUUCUCAUCUGUUAAGUAGGGAUAGCAAUAGGACCCAUCUCAUAGAUUGUUAUAAAGAUUAAAUUUAGACUGCUUAGAAUAGUAUCCAGCACUAAGUCAGGCUUUGUAUGGGUUAGUUAUGAUGAUAAUGAUGUUGAUGAUGAUGGCAAUGAUGAGUGGUGGUGAUGAUGAUGAUGAUGAUGAUGAUGACAAUGACAAUGACCAUGGGGGAAGAGGAGAGGAGCAACUUCUUGAACCACAUGCUUGAGGGGAGAAGAGAAGCUCACCAAAAGGGGGGUGUAUUAGUGUCCUAGGACUACUGUAAAAAGUGCCACAAACUGGGUGGCUGAGAACAGACAUUUAGUGUCUCAGUUCUGGAGGCCAGAAGUCUGAAAUCAAGGUAUCAGCAGCAUUGGCUCCUUCUGGAGACUGUGAGGAAACAUCUUUUCCCUGCCUUUCUCCUAGUGUCUGGUAGCCUCAGGGUUCUUUGGUUUGUAGAUGGUGUUUCCCCUGUCUCUUCUUAUCAUCUUCUCUUUGUACAAGUCUGUGUCUAGAUUUCCCCUUUUAAUAAAGGACACUGGUCAUGUUGGAUUAGGGCCCACCCUAAUGACCUCAUCUUAACUGAAUCAUCAUUUCCAGAGACUCCAUUUCCAAAUAAGGUCACAGUCAUGUGCCAGGAUGAGGACUUCAACAUUAUCUGGUGGAAGGGGAACACAGUUCAACCCACAAUGAGGGGGAUGGGGCAAUGCUGGCCAGACUGGUAGCAGCUGUUCCCUCUGCUUAUGAUUCCCAGGACUGAAUAUACUGAUCAGAUCAGGUUGGAUCAGUUGCUCAGCCCUAGCCCUAUCAACAAUAGCUUGGGAAGUGGGGUUGAAGGUGCAUUGCACAAAUUGCUGGGGACAGUGGUAUGUCUCAGAGAAAGCACUGGGAUGUUCACCCGCUGGACAAUCAUCUCAGGUGCUGUCCUCUCCAAUGUGCAAAGUGCCCAUCACUCAGUGGGAGGUACCUGGAGAUGAGCAAGAAGACGUUUAUGCAGCAGUGAUGGACAAAGUCUCCUAUGGAAGAAUGAACAACGGAGCAGGUGCCACAGAAUAAGUGCUCCAGUGGAAACACAAAGCACUAUGGGAGCACGAGAGAGCGUGAAGUUCCACAUUGGUUGGUAACAAGAAGCCACUGAGGAAUUGCAGGCAGAGGAGGACCUGAUUGGGCCUUUAUUUCAGGAUGACAGCUUGGUGCCAGUGUGGAGGAUGCUGUGAAGCAGGGAGAGAUUCCAAGGGAGUGAACACCUGUCUUCUACCCCACUGGGAGGCAAAAGCAUUAACCAGUCAUCCUUCUAUAUAAGACAGCACCAGGAGCCUCGGGGACCAUUUGCUCAGUCGUUCUUUUUAAUUUAAUUUUUAUUGAAGCAUAACCUACAUACAAAAAAGUGCACAAAUUAGAUGUUUCUAUGCCACCUGGAGGCACAGUGCUGUGGGGGACACAGAGGCAAGGAAGAUGCACCCUCCUACCCCCGCCCAACAAGCACUGGAGAUUUAGUGGAGAGCAGUGGAGAGGUGUGCAGUGUGGACGCCAGGAGUCCUUGGGGCCCGUGGGAGCUGGAUGUAGCAGGCAUUUCCGGCCUCAGGAUGGGAGGAGCUGUGAGAGACUUGUUGGCACCCAUGGGCUAAGGUCUCCGGGGGCACAGGAAACAGAGGAAGAAACACCGGGGCUAAGGACAUCACUCACUGUCUCUGUUGACCUCCGCAGUCUCCCGGACUGCCUCCCAACCCAUGUAGGGAUGCUUGACCAGGUCUUGAAAUAGAAUCAUCUGGAAAACUUCUGCCAUCUCAGAGCGAGACCAUGCCCCAGGCCAAUUAAACUAGAAUCUCUAGGGUCUAGCCCUGGAUAGCAGCAGUUUGAAAUAUUUCAGGUGAUUCUGUUGCACAGUCACAAGAGCUACAGUGCCUGAGCCUGGAAAUGAGAACAUCACGGCAGGCCGGAGGGCCUUUGCUUUCUUCCUUUUUCAACUAUGAGAGCGAGAUGCUUAUCCUACAGCACAAGCACCAGAAUGCAUUUAACCAUCAUGCGUCCACGAUGUGUACAUGAAGUGGUUCUUAUUUUAUUCCUUGACAAGUUUUUAUUUGGUUGCUCUUUUGACUCUUAUUCAAAAUUGUUUAUGUAAAUUAGUAAGAAGCUUUUAGCAGACAAUUUGGCAACAUGUAUCAAGAGAAUAAAACUGUUCAGAAUCAUUGGCCUAUUUAUUCCACUUUUGGAAGCUAUCCUACAGAAAUAACAUGAAUAUAGGGGGAAGCUAUAUGCGUUAGAUGUUCAUUGCAGCAUUAUUUAUGCUAACGAAAAGCUGGCAAAACCUAAAUGUCCAAUGAUACAGGAAUGUAUAAGUGAACUGUGGUACAUCUAUUUGGUAGAAUAUUAAGUAAUCGUUAAAAUUAUGGUUAUGAAGCCAAAGUAAUAACAUGGAAAAUGCUUAUGCCAUAAAGUUAAAUAAAAACGUAGAACACAAAAUUGUGCAGAUAUGCUAUAAUCACAACUACAUGCAGAGGAAACGAAAUAUAAAGGAAGUAGAAAGUAAAAAACAAAAUGCUAACAUAGAUUGUGUUAGAAUGAUAAGACUAAUUCUUUUUCCUACUUUCCAGAUUUUUAUAACAUGAUUACAUUAUUGCUUAGCUGGAAACAAACCAUAAAAACAAAAAAUGUCUGCCUUGUGCAUUUUUUCAUAUGUCUGUCAGACUGGAGACACCCUAAUGUUAAGAUCCCUACAAACAAUGUUAAGGCCACCAUGCCACACGUAGCACCUGAGGCUGCCUGCAAAAGGCCUGACAACAAUAGAUCAGAAGUCAGAGGGUCUGGCUUUUAACCCCAGCUUCAGCUUCACAGUGUGACCUUGAGCAAGUUUUUCCUUCUUUCUGAACCUCAGUUUCCUAAUCUGUGAAACAAUAGAUUGGACCAGGAGGGUCCUCAAGAACCUGCCGGCUCUGAAAUGUGAUGAUCAUGACAUGGAUGAUGAUGAAUAUACUAUUGAAUCCCAGUUGCGUUCAGAUCCAUCGAAUGGGAGACUAAGAGGCAGAAAAGUAUCUCCCC